rnacentral:rRNA from 1 species
UACGAAGGGUGCUAGCGUUGUUCGGAAUUACUGGGCGUAAAGAGCACGCAGGCGGUUUGGCAAGUCGGAUGUGAAAACCCGAAGCUCAACUUCGGGCCUGCAUCCGAAACUGCCCGACUAGAGGUAGGUAGGGGAGAUCGGAAUUCCUGGUGUAGCGGUGAAAUGCGCAGAUAUCAGGAGGAACACCGGUGGCGAAGGCGGAUCUCUGGGCCUUACCUGACGCUCAGGUGCGAAAGCUAGGGGAGCGAACAGG